rfam:Gammaproteobacteria bacterium RIFCSPHIGHO2_12_FTLL_42_10 rifcsphigho2_12_scaffold_69434, whole genome shotgun sequence.
CCAAUGAAGGAUCUGAAGAAAGCUUGAGCCAAAAUCGCAACCUAAUCGAACAGUAACCUUCUAGAGGCAGCAGUCGGGGGGCAGGUAGCUUGGAUUGCCGAACCCAAAAUCCUUUCCGUAACCGGCUGAAGUAGAGAAGGUAGGUAGGCGAUGAAAACGCUAUUGAU